GUCAGAGAGUGCAGACUCCCCCCCUGCCCAGCCUUAGGCUGGGUGGGGGAGGGGAAGCCACGCGGCCUUGUCCAGGAGAACCAGAGGAAGUCGACUAAGUCUGAAAGUCUGUAUUUUUGGCCAGUCCAAAUUUGAAGGGGAAAUUUCACCAGAAGAAUGUGCAGCAGUGACAUUUAAAAUCAUCAAAAAUUGAAGGCAAAUCCUGAGGAUUGUCAGCAAUAUCUAAUGGACACUGCUCCCAGUGCCUGCCCAGCACAAUAAUCUUGGCAUUUCUUCCUGUGCCAUUUUUUGGCUCUCCUGUGUCAGCCUGCUUCUGAGUUUGAAAUCAGAGAAAUGUAACCUUGUACACGUGGUGAAGACUUGUUCCAGCUCCUGGUGACACUCCAAACCAUUUGCCCACAUGCUUUCCUACAGCUCUGAUGAUCUGCACUACAGAGAUUCACAGGACAGUGUCACCUUUUCCUCUGUCACUGAUGAGAGCUGAUUUGAGCUGCGUUAUCUCUACCUGUGGCCUUUAAUUCUUGCUCUGACUCUUGUAUGAGAGGAAAGAAAAAGUCACUAGCGUGAAAUCAAUCAAGAAGAUUGAAAAUUGGGAGGUUUUUUAUUCAUAAAGUUCAUGGAUUUGCUGCUGUAGGAUCUUGAGGAAAUCAGAGCAAGCUGAUGCUGCUCUUGUAUCCAUCAAGAGUGAAAAAUCACCUCAAACAUCAGAGAGGGGCAGAUGUGGCUUGGGCAGUGUUGGCUCCUCACUGGCUUUUGACUGUCUCACACCAGGGCAGACCUUUCCCUAGUUUAAUUUUACAGGUGUGGGUAGGAAAUAUUUCCACUUUCUUUGUUUAAAACCUGCUGCCUUGUGGUUUCACUCAAUAAAUUGCAGGAAAAAAAAUGGCUGGGCAAGGUAGAGUUUUGUGGAAACCCACUUUUCCCACUGACAUGGAGUUAUCCA